rnacentral:rRNA from 1 species
CCUACGGGUGGCAGCAGUGGGGAAUAUUGCGCAAUGGGCGAAAGCCUGACGCAGCGACGCCGCGUGAGGGAUGAAGGUCUUCGGAUCGUAAACCUCUGUCAGCAGGGAAGAACGGUCACUGUGCUAAUCAGCAGUGAAUUGACGGGACCUGCAAGGGAAGCACCGGCUAACUCCGUGCCAGCAGCCGCGGUGAUACGGAGGAGGCGAGCGUUAAUCGGAUUUACUGGGCGGAAAGGGCGCGUAGACGGGAUGUCAAGUCAAGAGUGAAAUCCCCGGGCUCAACCUCGGAACUGCAUUUGAAACUGGGCAGCUGGAGUGUGUGAGAGGUAAGUGGAAUUCCUGGUGUAGCGGUGAAAUGCGUAGAUAUUUGGAGGAACAUCAGUGGCGAAGGCGGCUAUCUGGACCAUAACUGACGCUGAGGCGCGAAAGCGUGGGGAGCAAACAGGAUUAGAUACCCCUGUAGUC